ACUAACUAAGCUGUAUGGCUCUAUCCCAUUUGGAAUUCAGUGCCGUUUUUCUCAUACGGCGACGCUUAACCCAUAACUUCCUAUCUGCCUGUCAGCCCUUAGAGGUCUGCAUUGUAAACUUCUCAAACAUUUCAUGGCUGCGUCUGUCAUCCUCAUCCCAGAAGAGACGUAGGCCUGUGCUGGACCUGGGAAUACUCCGGCUUUGCUGCAUUUGAGGAAGUGGAGCCACCAGGAUCACUGCAAAAUCAGAACUGCUAAGAGAGACUUUAUGGAUUCAAGUUGGACUUCACCCUGAAUGUGACUUGUACAAAAUACUCCAGGUCUUCUCGUUCCUUCGUUUGUGACUUGUGUCUGUGCACAUUCUUCAGGAUACCGAUGUGGAAAACAAACUAUGCUGCAGGUAUUAGGCAUAACACGAGAAUCUGAGUUGGAUCUCAAUGCAUCACAAGAGGUGAUUAGGAGAAUGUUUGUUUCUUCACAGAGGCAGUUAUUGAAAAAACUAAACGGAAGAAGAAAAACAUCCCUCAAUUACUGAAAGUCUAUGAAACAGUUUCAAAAAGAAGCAAAACCAACUGUAACGUACAUGGACAUCUUUAGUUUUCAUAAACCAUCUGGUUCUUCUAGGACAGAAGACAAAAUCUUCUAGGAUUUUGACAGCUUUAACCGUGAGCUGAGUUUUCAUUUUCAAUAAUAUUGCUCAUAUUACAUCUCCAAAUGAAAAGAAAGUAUAUCAGGCCAUCAGGUGCACAGGAAAGGUAUAGGGGAUGCCUACCAGACCCUGUGUAUCCAGGUCCUGUGGAAGAGAGAGUACUAA